GAAAGACCAACCAUGCAUGAAGUUGUGAGGGUUUUGGAAUCCUUUCUUCCAGCGCCUCUUACGAAACCUUGUUCAGCUCAACCAAAGCGCAUUGACUAUGCUAAGUUUUUGAUUGACAAAGGGCAGCAGUUACCAACACCUCACCACCAAGCUCAACAGGAAAACAACUCUUCUGAUGCCCAGUGGUAUGUUCGGUUCCGAGAUGUAAUAUCUAAGAACACACUAUAAUUUUCUUACACCUAAUGAGGGCGGUGGAAACUGGUUCUGACCCCAAGAUUUGAUGGAUGCUGGAGGUUUUGCUCUGACAUGGAUUCUGUGACCUACUAAUUUAUGAAAUUAGGAACGAUCAGAUUACUAUCUGGGUUGGUUGGUUUGAAAACCUUCCAUAGACUUGGGAUUAAUUCUGUAUGAUCUUAACCUUAUUUAUGCAAACUAUGUAGUACUUUACUAAUUUGGUUAUAGCAACGAUAUGUGACUAGACAAGUUUCAAGGAUGUGUUGAUGAUAAACCUCGAGGAAAAUGGAAUAUAAUUGUGUACAAGGAAAAGCAAUAGCCAACAGGAACUUUAACUUGAAUACUGUACACUUGGUCUCCAAAAUUCUGUGAUCAAUCACCCUUUUAUU
rnacentral:misc_RNA from 1 species